UUCGCGACGUUUAGAUGUUUCGCGGCUUAGUUAGCAAAGUUGCUGUGAAUUUUAAUUAACAUCUCGUUCUUUCGUUUACUGAAAAGUGUGUACUCAAUUCCAGUGCAAUAGUCCACAGUCUUCUGAGAAAUGAAAGGAGUCGCGAAGAAGAAAAAAAGAUGGCAGAAGAGAGCAGAGGGCGCUGGUGGUGGAGGAGGAGCGGCGGUAUUUCCGUUGUUGCAUAGUCCAUCCAUUUGGCAGGUUUAUCUGAGGGCAUGCGCGCGCGACAUGUGCCCACCUACCUACUUACCUACCUGCAUCCUAGUUUGCCUGUCAGCCAAACCUGCUCCUUCUCCCUCUAGCUCCUCUCUGCUUGUCUGUGCUCCACUCGACCUGCCUGCCUGCUUGCCUGCCUACCGGUUUGCCUUGAUCCCUUGAAUAGCCAGGAGGUGGGUUGGUAGGUAGGUAGGUAGGUAGGUAGGUAGAUAGGUAGGUAGGUACGUCUUUCUUACGUAAGCGCUCCACUAGAGAGCGAGUUAUCGCGGCAGGGUCGAGCGGAUGAACGGAUGGACAGAGAUUUCCAGAGCUCCAUCGAGAAAACUAACAAAGAUCUUGCUCAGAGCGUGUCCAUUGGCAAACGAUCCGAAGCUGAGUUUAUACAAAUUCCCUUGUGCAAUCGAAUUUUAUGCUAUUCAGCUAUAAAAAUCCAAGGAACGCUUAGUUAUUGAUCAGUUGCGAGGAUGGGACGAGGCUCGCACGAUUCAUUAUUUAUUGUCAAGGUCGCGAACUCUCCCCAUCAUUCUUUCAUUCUAUGUCUAGGUACGAUUGACGGGAACUGAACUGACAAGACAAAAACACAGCUAUCAGAACUAAUGGAUGAUAUUUUGAUGGUUGGAGCCACCAUUUCUCGCGAACGCUUGGCGGAUCAGCAAGCGGGCCAAGAACACAACCGUGAAUCGUACUUCUAUGUGGAGUCACGGCGCUUGUGCGGUGACACAGAUAUCUACGCCCUCUCUUCAACCCCCUUCGUUGCCCAGUGGCUUUCGUAGCUGCUGUAAACUGGGCCAGGGCAUCUAUGAAACGGACGCGCAAAUUUACUGGAUCAACUUUAACUCCUCGGGGCUAGGGAUAUUAGGGUCGCGCCGUUCCUUGAGUCUUGAGAGGCUUUUCCUUUUCCUAUUUUCCUCUGCGAACUCUACUACUUACCCCCCAAAACGGGGAUGCUUUGAGACUGACAUAGGAAACGAAUUGUCUCAUUUUGUCCCAUAAUUAAAAGAUCAUUAUAUGCGGGUUAGGAAGCUGAAUUGUGGAUAAUGUAUUUUCAAAGUUGCCAAGAUGGAGAAAAACCUUGUACGCAAUCCCCAUCUUGCCAGAUUCUAAAAUGCACUUAUACAUUUUUCAGCACGUCGUUCGAGGGGACAACUUGUCCGUGUAUUCGAAGCAGAAUGCAGCUGUAUUUUUCCUCAACGUGAGCUGAGAGGCGCAAUUGCGGAGGUUAGAAUGGGUUGCACGCGUGUAUCCAUAGUUGCACCGCUUCCUGCACAUGAAUACGGCUGUCCCACAUUUCGGUAAGUACGCCUACUGUCGCGUACAAUUUUACGAACUAGGUCGAAUGGCUCGACGGUCAUUCCGCGCAAAGUUAAUCGCCACGUCUGCCGGUCUGGCGAUUCGCUCUCGCCACGAACCGACCGCAGAAUUUUAUCGUCUCCUUAUCGCCACGAGGAAACGUGGCUCUGUCUUGUGUACGUACAGCGAACUGUAAACAAGAUACCGAUCUCAAUCGUACCUCGUGUUUAACCGUUUUCGAAUCGAUUUCGUUUGAAGACAUUUGUUGCAAUCCCGAAGAUCACCACCCCUUCUUAACGCAAAGACUUCAAGUCGCAAUACCAGAAAAAAUCUUAAUGAUCAUUAGCGUGUCUCUCUAGUAAUUACUGCCUGCUGUAGUUAGUUGCAAACUUCCUCUGAGGAAAAUGAGGGAAACAUUUAUAUUCCCUAUGCUUGAUCGCUUUUUGCGUCCCACUAUUAAAACCUUAGCUGCGGUAGAGCCUUGCGAAUAAACCCGCCAUUACUCUCACUUGAAUAAAUUUAAGUAAUUAAUAUUAUACUAGAUCAACGCAGUUUCUAUAGAGUCAUAUGAAUAGGGUGGGCUAGCAAACUCCAAUGCAAUUUCGAAUUGUCGAUAAAGUUGUCCACGAGUUUGAGCUGACAAUCGCCGGGAACUCGAUCACAGGUGUAUAGAGGCGUCGAUUUGCGCGUAACGAGCGUGUUCGACCGCUAUACGGAAGCGGCAUAUCGCGCGAGCGGACCCUUCCAGAGGAAGCGGACUUUCGCCCUACCCGCUCGACGUUGGAUCAUCGUUAAUUUUAGAGGGCAGCAGCGGCCUUCGAGCGGCAACUCCGCUGCUCUCCGUCUCUUUUAACGAGCACCGAUGAGAACGAAUUACUCUCGCUGCCUACUCCCCGUAAUUAUUCCACUUUUCGGUUUUCCGUCUUCCGUUCUUCACCGAUCUUCCUAGCUGAUAUUAAAUGCGCGUCGCAUCGUUAUUUCUCAUCACCGUCCCAUUACCGCCGCGAUUUCGCUAAAAAUGCUUAUUUCUUAAAAAAACCUUGCCAUUUCAACUGGUUCUUAAAUAACGCUGAUGGACGUUUUCUCGCCUUGGUUAACAGCUCUAAUAUUUCUGUACAUCGUUAAAAUUAUCCUAAGAAUUAUUUUCUCUUACUUUCUAUUCAAUCAUUGUUUUUUUUCUUUUUUACUCCAAAAAUAUGUAGAAAAAGAAUAAAAUGAUCAGAGAAGUUACGUUUCGGACGUGUAAAAAAUUUCAACGUCUAAACGUACGAAACGCGACGAGACUGUCGUACUAGUUUGGUCGCUCGUCGAGCUGGACCUUUGAGUCCAAUUUUUUUGCCUGGACGUGACUGCACACACCCAUCUGGGUAUAGUGUAUUAUAUACUCGCAUAGGCGUACACGUGCUUUACCCGUCAAGCAAUUCUUACGUAAGAACAAGAUUCGAUUCGACGAGAUUAUGUUCUUUUCUCAAAGCUGUUACACAUGCUUCGCCUUUCUUCAUCGUACACGCAGGUAAACAAUCCUCGAAACACGUAUCCCACGUGCACAUAUACCUACAGAUACUUACGCGAGUACGUGUCCACGAUGAAACGAAAUGGUCGCCACGUCGCGUCGUUUCCCGAUGCGAUUAAAUUAAAAAUAAUAGUGGCCGCACGAAUAUGGCGCGCAAUCGUUAAGAUUUUAGAUAGAUUUUCAGCGGGCAGAAUAUAGCGUGAAGCGGUGAAAGAAGAAGCGCGUUCCGUGCGACCAAGUCCGCGAACCUGUGGAAUAUCUAAAACGUGCUUUCGCCUUAUAUGGUCAUCUUUUUCAACUUGUCUCUUCCUUUUUAUUCGAGCUGGCAGUUCGUUCAUAAAAUUGCUUGUACGCCUUUCGCACAUGCCUCGUACGAUGCUUUGAAUAGAGAUCAGAAUUGGAUCGAGCGUAUUUCUUUAGUAGAUGCACGCGAUAAGCGUAAUGAGGUAGGCGAUGAAUCGAGGAUGGAGGUGAUCAUUGAUUUCUUUCAUAGAAAGAAACUUUUCAUGAGUUUACUCUGUAUUGGUUUCAGCAAUUUCUAGUCGUUUUUAUGUAUUCAUAGAAGAAAAAAUUGCUUGACUGUGGAACGAGGGAAACUCGUUGGCAAGAAGGCGCCCUUGUCUAGCGGUAUAUCCGUAACGCGACUAUUACCUUGGAAUCGCGAAUGCACGCGAUUACAUUUACCGAUUUGUGGUCAUAAAUUAAUAGCACGGCUUCGAGUAAAUGCGGCACAACCACGUGUAACCCAUUCUGUACGUGUGUACAGUAGAUACGAGCACGCGCCUCUGUAAAUGUAACUAUCCAAACAGUGGUACUCAUCAUGGAAAUUACCUGUUACGCAUCGACGCGCUUAUUUCGGAGCAAAAAUCGGGGUUUCCUCGAAUCAAAUGAUAAACAUGCUCGGAUUUUCUUGCUUCUAGAAUAUAAGUUUCGUCGCGAGGCACGUGGAAAUAUCCAUGAAAUACGCUAGGGAACGCAAACGAUAGCGAACAAUUACCGAUAUUCGCUAAUGCGCAAUAUGUCCGAGUCUGCUCCAAUACUCGAUGAAGACAAGUCCCGUCGGACAAAGAUUCGAAACUCACGUUCGGUGAGUAUAUUAUAAUUAUCGAAAUCGAAUCGCUAUCUCACGGCUUGGUGAGUACCACUGUUAUAGAGCGAUCAUGCGCGAUCUCCUAGCCUCUGCUCUGCCCCCGCAACCUGCGUUCUCCGCCUAGCCUUCUGUUAGUAGUUGCGUAACCCUGCAGAGUCAUGCGAUAGGAUAGCACAGUGCCGUGGUGCGGCGCGACCAACCAACACGAAUAAACCAGAACGAGAAGGAAUGAACGGAAAGGAAAGGAAACGAGCGAGAUGGACGAAGACGAUGGGACAAAGAGAAAGCAAGAAAGAGACGUUCAAAAAAGGUUAAGAAAGGAAGGAAGAGAUGGCUCAUCUUCGGGGGGUGGCAGUGGGAAUACGGGGACGAAGAGAUCGAGAGAGAGAGAGAGAGAGAGAGAGAGAGAGACGAAGAGAGUGUAGAGAAGAGGCGGUUCAGCCUUGAAACACCGCCGCACCGCGAGCGGCGGCUUCGUCACAAGUUCCGUGCUUCAACUCGCAUCGAAUCGUUUUUGCCCAUCUUCCCACGUCAAAGACAUACGCUGAUGUUCACCCCAAUUCACAGUUACUGUUUAAUGCUCUUCUUAUCAAGAUUUUCCUCUUCCAUCGAUCGAUGUUUCUCCUUAAUUUCACUUACAUGUAUGCGCACGCUACAUAUUGGUCCGCGAAAAGAUGGCAUGCGAUAUUGGAAAGAAGCAAUGGGGGAUCUUGGUUUGCUCCGCCUGACCCCACUCUUAAUGUCUAGUUUAAUCGCUACCCAUAGGUUCUAGAGGCUAUGCCACUGCUUUGAAGUCGUCGUCGCCGCAUCGCUCUGUUCCAGUCGCACUUAACCGGUUCGUUCGUUUCCUUCGUCGAGCGAUUCGACCAAUUACGAAAAAUCCUUGCGAUGCGAAGUAGGGAUAUCGGGUAGUGGGGCAUAGAUCCCUACAAGUUUUAGCCAUGCCAUCUUCUCGCGGACGAAUGGAACGUGUCUUUCGCUACUAACCUAACACGAAUUAAUUUUUACAACGAACUCUUUAUUAAACAAAAUAAUAGGAAACUAACAAUAAGAAUGAGAUGCAAAGAAAAAAAGUUUCCUUGCAAUGAUAGCUAGAACACAUUCGCGUACCUGAAAUAAUCUGCAAUUUAUUGUUCGCGGCAGUUUUAUCUGGUCCGCGGUAUCAACGAUUAAUAGCCAGCUGGUUAAUUUAUCGCCGAGGGUUCGUAUCAAAUAGAUGCAUAUAUCAUCGACGCGAUAGAAACGUAUUGGUUCAGGAUCUCAUGGGUCCCUAUGAAUUUUCAUCAUCCCUCUUCUCCAUACCCGACCAACCAUUAUACCUUCGUGGGGCGAAGAGUAAUCCGCAGUCACAGCAUCGUAUGCAAAAUUCUAAGAAGCGCAGUGACAGAUAAAAAUAGAUAAAAGCGACGGUAUCGCUGGCUCGCUGGCUUUCCGGGAACGGUUUCGUCAAUCAGGGUCACCGGUGCGGCUCGUUAUGUCUAAAAGCAGUUUCAUGUAACUCGAAGGAAACGAAACGAUGCUUGUACGCGUUCAGGAAGAAGCACGUUUCGGUCUCGAUAGAAGCGUCAACGUGAACAAUGCAGUCAUUUCGGUAAUAAUAAUGAAGCUGUUAAGCGGGUAGUUGUUUAUUCAGAAAUGCGGUCAGGGUGCGUGGUGAGAAACAAACGGUACGCGCGCACGUAAACGAAAAAAAAAGGACAGCAUGCAAAGAUGCGAAAUGCAAUCAGGGAUACGCGUGCUCGACACUUUUAGCAAAAGUUACGAAAUACGCAAUCUCUGCAGCGCUUACGAUAUCGAAAAUGUCUGACUUUCCUCUUGUCCGUAAGGAAAACUUUCGAAGACUAAUAAGCACAGCGCGGAUAAGAUGGGUAGAAGCGCAAAGUGCAGGAAACUAGAGCAGAGGGAAAUUGGUGAAAAUGCAUCUAGAGGGAGGAGAGAUCGUGUGGAGAGAAAAAUUGAGAAAGUGGAAUGAAACGGAGUGGUGAAGGAAGGGAAGGGGAUGGUAUAAAAAAGGCGAAGAGAAGAAAUGGAAAGAAACGUGUGCCGCGAAGAGGGUAGCUGCUUUCGACUUCGUAGUAGGCCUCGAUCGAUGUUGUUACCAUGGCUACGGGGGCAGUACUGCGGUGCUCUACUACUGAUUAUUUAUGUCAAGGAUCCUCCCCCUCCCUGCUUCGAAGCUCGAAACGCGUGCUCUAAACGCGAAUCACCCCGAUGCAAAUAACAAUGAGCAUUUCGUUCUCCCUCUAACGAACAACUCUUUCAGAUAUUAUUCUAAUUUUACCUGAGAUACUUAAUUUGACAUUUCCCACUAUGUUAGAUUCUAAAUAAUAUAUCUAAUUUAACGCUCUUCGUUUAAACGUAAAGCUGAAAUUAAUAAGUGUCCCAUGACUUAUUGACUUUAAAUAGCAUUAUGAAGCAAUUGAAAAGGCCUUUGGCUCACGGUUAAACUCGAUGCGAUAUCAUCGUAAAGAUAGAAGCAUUUAUUCUGAGGGCGGCCACUAGCGCAAUCACGUGACAAGCAUAACGAUGAGAUCAAACGCGAACCCUCGUACUUUUUUCCGCAAUGGUAGCAGAAAACAACGAGAAUCUAUGCAGAUAGGCUAGUCUUUCGUGAAAUUUAGAUCGGUAAGCAGAACGGAAUACUUUUAACCGAGCAGUCGACUAUGGUAAACCAAUAAAAAUUAAUCGCAUGAUUUAAAUGACGGAACAAGUGCAUUUCAUGUCAUCCAAGAGAUGUUUUUUUUUUUUUAAUUGCACAACAACCAUAGCAACGUAUUCAUUGACGUAACUAGGUAAAGACCAGGGUGAAAUGAUGAAAAUAAAUCAAAAACAUUGGGUCAAAAUCCAUGGAUUACCUACAUACAUAUAUAGCAAGCCAUUAAACUUUUUUAAUACAUCUUUCAUUCUUUUAUAAGAAAAGGUACGACACAUAAAUACGUCCGAACAAAUACCGUAACCUAUAAAGUAAGUUAUAUUUAUACGGUCGUAAUUUGAGUUCUUCGAUGGUAAAAGAUACAUAUGUACAUGAAAGUAUCGUAAAAAAAUAAGUAAAGAUCCACGCGAGGAUGAUGGUAUUACGGUUAGUACAUCGGAAAAUCGUAAAACGACGGUAAAUAUCAAAAUGAAUCUUGAUAAACGCGAAUUAAAAAUUGGCAUUUAAAUGAUGGCUAUUGCUAGCGGUUAAUGAUAACUGAAGUUGGAGCUUUGGUACUGCUUUCAAAGCGAAAGAACGGAGAGGAUGGAAAAGAACACGCAGAGGAAAGUAAGUACUCCCGUUGGGAAGGUUGCUUUCGACCCAAUUUCACCCUCCCAUAGUGGUGGUACCGUCAUGGAGCAAUCGAUACUGCGCCUAAGGGACGUGCCAGCGUGCUCUAUCAGUACGACGUUUAUCGCUCUAGCUUGCGCAGAAGCGACGAUUGCAGUUAAAACAAAAUAACAUUUUUCGCUCUUUAUCUUUCUAAUGACAUAUUAACCUAAUUUUUAUCCAUAAUUUGAACCUCUUUGAUUAUCCACACGCAAGCCAUUUUGCUUCGAGGUAUGGUUUUCAAAACGAAAGGACUAUGGACGUUCGGCAGGUGACGAGGUAGAUUAAAAUUAAUAUUAUAGCAACACUUUCGAUGUUUAAAUUUAUUUAUUUAUUUAUUCGCGAAUCAUAGUUCAUUGUUGGUUAACACAAACAUAAUAAAACAAUAAUAUGUUGAUUCAUGAUUAUUUGAAUAAGUCGCGUUGUUUUCUGUAAACGAGUAGUUUUGAUUAUUAUGCUUAGGAAUUUGGUGCACAAUCACUCCAAAAGGUAACUUUUCUCUAUGUACACGUCAUGCAAUAUUUAUAGCCAAUGAUUAUUACCGUUCAUUUGAAUGCGAAAUAACUUUUUUUCCUCAGUUACGAUUCAGUCAUUGAGAUACCGAAUCACAACACAUGCAAGUAGAAAUUUUUAUUCAGUUUCCUUGUAAACAUAAAAAACAUUGAAGGUCUUCGAUAAAAUAAGUGAAAAUCUGUCAAUUUAAACUUUGGUAAAAUUUAUUCAGAAGUUGUUUUUAACUUUAUUCAAUUAGGCAAAGAAAGUGAGAAGUUCAUUGCAAUUUUUACAAUCUUGUUAAUAUAAUUCAUUCUUUGUUUUCUUGCCGACGGUACCUUUGAAAUAAACGAAAAGUUGUUUAACAGCUAUGCUUACAUCUGCAUUUCCGAUGUAAAUUGUGCGUAAUGGGACAAUUAUUCGCUAUCGAAAACGUGUAAUGAUAAUACACAGAGUGGGCGGAUGAGGUCAUACAUAUAAUAAAUUUACCCACCAGACAUUACAAACUACCGUUUUCCUACAUGCCUAAAAUUUCUCGUCUCCCCAACGAAAAAUACACCUUUCCCUCUGCAACUGUGUAACUUAUAAAGAAUCAUUAAAAAGAAGAAAAAAAAAAA